rnacentral:lncRNA from 1 species
AGCAUCACACCUGAGUGGCCUUCAGGGAAAGCAGUUCUGCAGGGGGACCAGUGCAAUGGGAUUUGGCUGCGCAGCUUCCGUUGGCUGGUGAGAUUCACAGACAGGCUUUACUGAAUCUGAGGAACUGCAGAUCUUGCUGGCCUCGAUAGAGAUCUGGGCCGAGUUGGUUCCAGUUGCUUGCAAGAAACAAUGUGCCUGAUGCCCAUAGGUCUUCUACUGUGUUUCCUGCCACCUACAUACAGAGCAAACGAACGUGAAACUGCUGUGAAAAUCAGGGCUGCAUAAGGGCAUAAGGACACAACCCAGGUCUGCCCACAGAGCAUUCCUAAGAGGGAGCUCCAAGGAUGCUGUCAUGUUGGCGUGUUCCAUGGGCUGCUGGUCUUCCGUAUUCCUAUCUAUUCUUUUACACUGGGUUUUAUAUUUGCCUGCUCUCCCUGAGGACUCAUCAGAGUGAUCAAUACCAGUACUGACAGAAAGUUCUUCUGUGGUUGACUGAUUGGACAAGUUUGGUUGCCAAGGUGCCUAUAUUUGCAGAAGUUCAUGCUGGUCUUCUCAAUUGUUCUUCUCUGUGAUUUGGUGGAAAGGUUUGGGGGAAAGUGAACCUGUGGGAAGCCUAACUUCCUAGACUUAGGAUCUUAAAGUCAAUGUAAUUUCAGUCACGGUGUCAUAGGGAUGGAGUAUCAAGAGAAGGAAAGAGAAGAUGCCAGUGAAAGAGAGUGACAAAUUGGCUCUUAUCCUACCUUCUUACAAAAGCCCCUUAGAAAAGUCACCCUAUUUUUG